rnacentral:rRNA from 1 species
CCCUAGUAACGGCGAGUGAAGCGGGAACAGCUCAAAUUUGAAAUCUGGCCCUUGGGUCCGAGUUGUAAUUUGCAGAGGAUGCUUUUGGUGCGGUGCCUUCCGAGUUCCCUGGAACGGGACGCCUUAGAGGGUGAGAGCCCCGUACGGUUGGCCACCAAGCCUGUGUAAAGCUCCUUCGACGAGUCGAGUAGUUUGGGAAUGCUGCUCAAAAUGGGAGGUAUAUUUCUUCUAAAGCUAAAUACUGGCCAGAGACCGAUAGCGCACAAGUAGAGUGAUCGAAAGAUGAAAAGCACUUUGAAAAGAGGGUUAAAUAGCACGUGAAAUUGUUGAAAGGGAAGGAUUUAUGACCAGACUUUUUCUAGGGGGAUCAUCCGGUGUUCUCACCGGUGCACUUCCCCUGGUUGAGGCCAGCAUCGGUUUCUGUCGGGGGAUAAAAGCUUCGGGAAUGUGGCUCCUUCGGGAGUGUUAUAGCCUGUUGCAUAAUACCCUGACGGGGACCGAGGUUCGCGCAUUGCAAGGAUGCUGGCGUAAUGGUUAUUAAUCACCCGUCUUGAAACACGGACCAAGGAGUCGAACAUUUGUGCGAGUGUUUGGGUGUUAAACCCUCACGCGUAAUGAAAGUGAACGGAGGUGAGAGCCCUUCGGGGUGCAUCAUCGACCGAUCCUGAUGUCUUCGGAUGGAUUUGAGUAAGAGCAUAACUGUUCGGACCCGAAAGAUGGUGAACUAUGCGUGGAUAGGGUGAAGCCAGAGGAAACUCUGGUGGAGGCUCGCAGCGGUUCUGACGUGCAAAUCGAUCGUCAAAUCUGCGCAUGGGGGCGAAAGACUAAUCGAACCAU